rnacentral:lncRNA from 1 species
ACACACACACACACACACACACACACACACACACGCACGACUAGCUUAGCUUUCAACUUCCUGUCCCUUUCAAGUCCACUGGGGGCUGCGAGCCAGACCCCGUGAGCACAAAUGAGAACUGGCUUCUCCGCCUUCUCUUCUCUCCUUGCUUGAUUCUCAUGCCCAUCAUAGAUGCCUCCUGUGACCAGUUGGCACCCAUGCUCUCAGGUCACCCACACCAGGAAAGGCCUGGGCCUCACCUGUUCCUCUCACAGACAUGGCCUGACCACCUCGUGGGGUGGGACGUGCAGUUCCACACCCCGGCUUCAGGUCUGUGAUUGUUGUGGCCACAUACCGAGAUAAGCCCCGAAAACCCUCGUAGGUCGGAUGUCAUGGGCUCCGGUCUCCUGAGGACCUGUUUUCCUGUUAUUUUUCUAUUCGUAGUGGGGCUCCAAAGCAGAGAGCUUGCUGGUGGCUACCACCCCUGCCAUACCCUCUAUGUGAAUGGAACAUCUGAAUCACUCCAACCCUUAGCCGCUCGCUCAGGGCCGUUCCUAUCGAUCUCUGUCCCAGCUGAACUUUGUGUCUUUUGCAGACGGUUAGCACAUUGGUGGUGGCUGACUCUCAGACCCCUGGAAUCUACAGCUGCCGGGCCUUCAAUAAAAUAGGGACUGUGGAAAGAAACAUAAAAUUUUAUGUCACAGGUAAGCUAUCGGGACUUCACCUACAGGGAAGUUGGGUGACCUCAGUCUUUCUUCUUUUUCUCUUUGCUUUUAACGCCCUUGGUGAUUCCCCCCCCCUUUUUUUUAAACAUAGACUUGUCACACUGUGAGGACCUCCAUCCUUGCUCUCGGAUAGAAUUCCACAACAUCUUUAGCUUCUCUAAAGAGCCACUUCCCGGAAUUCUCUCAAUUGUGUCUGUGUCUCUUUCCCAGACUGGGUUCUAAAUUUGGGAUCUUAUAUCCUCACUCUUGGACCCCCCUCAAGACCUACCUCUGGGUCUGGUACAUAGUUCACUUCCAACCCCUAUGAUAUUAGACGGGUUUUUUGAUUGUUUGUUUUUUGGUUUGGGGAAGGAGGUUGUGGGUUUUUUGUUUGAUUGUUUGUUUUACUUAGAAAUGCAUAGUUGAAGUAAUUUAGCCCUUUGGGAGACUCAGACUCCCCUGUCAAAAUCUGAAAGUGGGCUUUGUUCCUCAUAAUUAAUGGGCUAUUUUUUUUUGAGCAUUUAAGAAUUUUUAACUUUAAACCCUGAUGGUCUCUACAAAUCUUUAAACCUGCAAAGUACUCAAGUGGCGCUCCUUAUGUCCCUCGGUGAGUCCAGGAAGGAAAUAAGUUGCUCAAAGUCUAAAAACAAUUGCCUGGCUCCACGCCUCCCCAGUUUCUGAGGGAACCUGGGCAGCCUGCCAACCCUCUGGAAACUUCACACUGCACGGAGCAGGCUGCUGACAGUGCCUAGAAGUCUCCAGAAAGAAAUAGGCAGCCCUGAGUUCAUAAGGCGUUUGCGUUUUCCGAUGAUGGGAGCCUGCAGCCAAACCCUAAAGAGUCUGGGCCGUGGAGCCGUCCUGAAGGUCAUUCUCACAGGUUGGACCUGGACAGUGCCCUGCAUUCUCUGGAGAGGGGAGAACACCACAGCAAAGCCCCCUUGACCGAGGACUGGUCCUCACCUUCCCACCUUACAAGAGCAGAAGACAGUGUUCCUCUUAUAUCCGCUCCCAGUAGCAAAGGCCUUUGCUGGGGAAGGAUGCUCACAAAGAUUUCACUAAGAUUAGUCUAGGAGUAAAUCCAGGAGCUUUGGAGUAAACCCGCAGUUCUCAACCUGCAUGGGGAGGUCGCUCCACCCUUUCAUAGGGGUCACCUAAGACCAUCGGGAAACAUUUUGCAAUCCAUAGCAGUAGCAAAAUGACAGUUCUGAAGUAGCAACAAACUAUUGCUAAGUAUUGGUGGUAUACGCCUUUAAUCCCAGCACUUGGGAAACAGAGGCAGGCAGGAUAUAUGAGUCUUAGGCCAACCUGGUCCAGGACAGCCAGGGCUAAAAUGAGAAACCCUGUCUU